CUUAGAAUCUUUCCUAAGUACGAUUGAAAGUUUUCCAGUCUCUGCAGUAACAGGCUUGAUUCUUGUCCAGCUUUAUCAAUUAUUCUGUGACUUUGGGUAGAUUUCUUUCCCUCUUUGGUUUUCAGUCUCACCUGGGGGCGUCGCUCAGGUCGCCUUCCGGGACAAAAAUGGACAUCUGUGACCCCUCCCGCCAGAGUCGGUGCUCAGGCACUGGGAACCG